UUAAUUUAUUAGCAUGAUUUCUUUUUAAUAUGUUGUCUACAGACUUAAUUACUUCUCUGUCUACUUUUCUUACUCCAUGUAGGUUUCCCAGAGACUAUGGGUUGAGGAGGAACUGGAAGUUUGUCGGCUUAGACCUGGUGUCAUUCCAUCAGUGUUAAACUUCCCGGCUCAUCUUGGAAGAACCAAAGAACUACAGACUCUUCACAACCUGCUCAAACUCUUGGUACAGGACCUCACCACACGGGUCAAGAAGGUUUCUGUCUCAUUUCUACUCUGAAGAUCACCUUCUCCUGCUCAAACUGCUGACAAAUGUUUCUGCUGCUCUAAAGUCUGGUCUCCAGAACUUCCUAAAAACUCUCAAAGUCUCUUCUGCUGCAGGUUGCUUUGUAGAACUGUUGCAGAAAACCUCACUAAACCACAUGGAGGGGCCUCAAGAUAGUCGUCCAAAUGAAACCGUACAAAAACCAAACUAGCACAACCUAAACACUAAAGUCUCCUGCAGCCUACCAGAGAACCUCUGAGAACAGAGAAUCAGGACAGGAACUCUUACCUUCUGGACAACCAACAUUGGUUCUCAAACAAGAAUACAGAAUGUGUCUGACCAAAAACCUCUAACGACUCACUACAGCCAAGAUAAAGACACAACUCAGCUGCACCAAAUCCACUAAUCACUGCACACAUUAGCACCAUGUACUAACUGUGGCUAAAGAACCACAUUUACCAAGACAACUAUCCAGUACAAAGCCCUAAAACACACCAAGAAACACAUUAAAGACGAUUUUACUGCUGGAAGCUGCAAGCCAACGCCUAAAGAACAAACUACAGCAAUGGAGCCAAACCCAGUUCAGUGGUGAAGAGAAGCAGAGGAAAUGUUUGUCUGCAGCUAAAUAAAGCAGGAAGACACUGAGCUGCUCAGGUGUUCCUAAUAACACCAAGCAGCCACCUGGACAGCCAAUAGGAACACAGCCACCUGGACAGCCAAUAGGAACACAGCUUCCUGGAAGUCCAGAGGGCUGGCUUAGUGAAGGAAAUUUAGUUUAAAGUUGAAGCAGAAAGUUAAUAAAGAAAGUUGAAAACCACCUUCUGAUACCUGAAAUCUCUGAGUUUUCACACAAAGAAUGCCUGAACAUGUCAAACUGGUUCCAUAGUAGAACCAUCAUUGUAAAAACGUCAUAGUAUGGUGUGUUGCUCAAAAAACAUUAGGACCUGGCUGUCAGGGGACAAACAUGUAAGAAACAUGAGAACAGAGAGAACCCAACCAGUAGGUCACAGUUUAUCAUCCCCCAGUCAUCUCCUGAAGUCCAUAUGGUGAGAGACAUCAGUAUCUGGUUGUUAAUUUACCAGAGGAUGCUUAUAAUCAUGCUGAUGUGGUCUGUACUCUACAGUAUUUUAGUGACUCAAUAAAUGCCUAAGUUGUUUUUUUUUAAAUGCUUUUUAGUUUUUAAUAAACAUUUAACAGCCUAUAUGUAAUCAAUAAGUGGCCUUUGCCUAUCUUAAGAAAAAUUCACUCAGAACUCUGAUAUGUUAACAGUACUAAAUAAAUCAAUAAAUACAUGCAUACACACAAAAAUAAGUUAAUACAUUAACUGUGUUAAGAUAAGAUUUAGAUUUU